rnacentral:rRNA from 1 species
UACGUAGGGUGCAAGCGUUGUCCGGAAUUAUUGGGCGUAAAGAGUUUGUAGGCGGUUUGUCGCGUCUGCUGUGAAAUUUCGGGGCUCAACCCCGAACUUGCAGUGGGUACGGGCAGACUAGAGUGUGGUAGGGGGAGACUGGAAUUCCUGGUGUAGCGGUGAAAUGCGCAGAUAUCAGGAGGAACACCGAUGGCGAAGGCAGGUCUCUGGGCCAUAACUGACGCUGAGAAGCGAAAGCAUGGGGAGCGAACAGG